rnacentral:rRNA from 1 species
GUCCACGCCCUAAACGAUGUCAACUGGUUGUCGGGGAAGUUAUUCCUUGGUAACGAAGCUAACGCGUGAAGUUGACCGCCUGGGGAGUACGGCCGCAAGGUUAAAACUCAAAGGAAUUGACGGGUACCCGCACAAGCGGUGGAUUAUGUGGAUUAAUUCGAUGCAACGCGAAAAACCUUACCUACCCUUGACAUGCUAGGAAGCUCGCAGAGAUGUGAGUGUGCCCGAAAGGGAACCUAGACACAGGUGCUGCAUGGCUGUCGU